rnacentral:lncRNA from 1 species
AAGGGAGGAGGCUGCCUGCAGCUGCAGCCGCGAGAGAUGGAUGUGCAGGAUCAGACACUGCCCAGCCCCUGAGCCAGGAUCCCUGUCUGUAUCUGCUGCAGCCCUGUAGACACCGGCAGGGGCAGCAGCAGCAGCAGCAGCAGCAGCAGCAGCGGAGAUUCAUCUGCUGAGAAGCUGCCACCAAGCUCAGGAUCUCGGGGGAGCUUUCCCCAGGAAGCUGUCCAGACUUCUGCAAUGGCUACCUCCUCCACCAAGGGCCACAACUGUCAGUCACCCGACUGGAGGCUGAAGCAGUAAGUUUCUGGGGUUUUCCGUCGAUCUUUUUUUUCAGAGCCGACUGCUGGCAGAAUCCACAAGGAAGCCAGCCGGGAGGGUGGUUCUUCAGAGAGUAACGAACACUGUAUAUGCUAAGAAUCUGGAGGUGCCGGGAACGCCUAGCAGGGGAAGGAUGGAGGCUGCCCCAGGUGAUGGAGGCACACAGCAGGUAAGGCGCUAAACGGCCCACUCUGGAUGCAGGAAGGGCUGAGGAGUAUCAGAUCUGCAGUUAUAGUUGGAAGGCGCAUUUACUGAGAACACUCUCCGAACUGUAGGAGUCAACUCCAGAUUGUGGUGGGCUGUGGAGGGGGAGGGGAGGAAGAAACUGUCGCUGUGUGUGCGACAGAGGAGGAGACGGAGGGUGGGGGAAGAGGCAGAGAAAAGAUCUAAUGCAAUGAACUAAGCUAAGCAGUUCAUCUUUGUGAAAAUGGUGCUUCUGAGGCUUGUGAAACCUGUGCCCAACCCCCCUUUUAAUUUAUUUUUAUUUAUGUAUAUUAGUGUUUUGCCUGCAUGUAUGUCUGUGUGAGGGUGUCAGAUUCCCUGGAACUGGAGUUGCAGACCGUUGUGAGCUUCCAUGUCUGUGCUGGGAAUUGAACACUGGUUGGUCCUCUGCAAGAGCGGCAGCCAGUGCUCUUAAAACAGUGAGCCAUCUCUCCAGCCCCAUCCUGUGGCCCAUCUGACGAAUCACAGUAGCAACUGUAGCCAAACACAAAAAUAAAACAACAUGAAGAGCUCCUGA